rnacentral:misc_RNA from 1 species
AACGCACAUUGCGCCCCCUGGCAUUCCGGGGGGCAUGCCUGUCCGAGCGUCAUUGCUAACCCUCCAGCCCGGCUGGUGUGUUGGGCCGCCGUCCCCCCGGGGACGGGCCCGAAAGGCAGCGGCGGCGCCGCGUCCGGUCCUCGAGCGUAUGGGGCUCUGUCACGCGCUUCUAGGCCGGCCGGCUUGCUGGCCAACGACCUCACGGUCACCUCACUUCUCAGGUUGACCUCGGAUCAGGUAGGGAUACCCGCUGAACUUAA